AAAUCCCUGUAAAUUGGGUGUGGUUUUGAAAUCAAAGAGCUAAUACCUUUAAUUAGGGAGCUUAGCUCUGGGCGUGUAUUGCAAGCCUCACCCCGACCCGUCGGGGUAGUGGACGCAAAAAACGUUCAGGCGGCACCCACCGUGUCGAACGCGGUUCUUUGAUCCGGCCACACCGAAUAGCAGGGAUUUU
rnacentral:other from 1 species